CAGCCGCCACGGUAAUACGUAGGGUGCGAGCGUUAAUCGGAAUUACUGGGCGUAAAGCGUGCGCAGGCGGUUCGUUAAGACAGAUGUGAAAUCCCCGGGCUUAACCUGGGAACUGCAUUUGUGACUGGCGGGCUAGAGUAUGGCAGAGGGGGGUAGAAUUCCACGUGUAGCAGUGAAAUGCGUAGAGAUGUGGAGGAAUACCGAUGGCGAAGGCAGCCCCCUGGGCCAAUACUGACGCUCAUGCACGAAAGCGUGGGGAGCAAACAGGAUUAGAUACCCCGGUAGUCCCUGUCUCUUAUAC
rnacentral:rRNA from 1 species